UAAUUUAUUUAAUAUAUUAAAGCUUAUAAAUAAUAAUAAUUAAAGUUUAUAAGAUUGCAGGCCCAACCUCGAAAUCUACAGAACCAGAAAAAAUAGCACAUUGAAAAAAAAAGGUCACCAUCGAAAUGGAGAACUUCGAAGACUACCUCAUUGGGAGAAGGACGGCGGCAGCCAGAUGCUCAGAUCCGCGAUACAUAUUUAAUAAACCUACAUUGGAUCAUAAUGGCCACAAAAGCCUAGAAUUUUUUGAAAAAUGGUUUCACAAUGUUUCAUGGCCAAUAGAAUGUAUCGCUCGUAUGUCGAUCUUAGAAUGGACGAAGCGUACGACAACAUUCCCAAUCUGAACCAUGAUGUUCAAAUUAAAAUUCGAUCAAUACAAAUGACAGUGGAAUCGUUAACCGAUAAUUGAACCUCUAAAGAACAGCUAUUGCAUGCAAUAAUGGCCAUGAUAUAUACGUAUCCUUUUUAAAUUACAUUAUGAGAUGGCCAGUCACACACAGUAGGUGUGCCGCAACAGAGCUACUAUUAAAGCUAUCCAAGAGCUGACCAGCACAGCAGGUGACACCCUGCAUGAUGUCCAAAUUUCGAGUGGAGUCGGACGUGUUCGUUUUAAACUUUUUGCCUAGACCCUGCCACCAUGCCAUAUGUUAGGCCAUGUCAGCCACUGUGGCUGUGCAGGAGUCCAUACUCCGUAUUGGCCCGCUGCUGUCCAUGGUUGUUCAGUUCAUUGUUGACCCAAAGGGAAAGCAACUAAGGGGAUUAGAAGGACGAGAGCCGCUCUCAAAAACUCCAUGUAUAUAUUCUCCAAUACCAUACGCAGAACGAGUUUCAAACAACGCACGGAGCGGAGAUAUUUCCUUGCAGAGGACAUCUCCUAGUCGGCACACAGAAAGAGAUAAGUCUUUUUUGAUUUUCGAGAUAAGUUAAUUACUUCACAUUCGGACAGCUAACAAAUUGGGCUAUAGAGCGUCUCCAAGUUGAGCAUUCUCGACUGGAGGAUAAGUCGCAUACUUAAAUGUGUGCAUUCAAAUGUUCUUUAGACGCAUUCAAAGGUUUGUAUAAGAAAACUAUGCUAGUACUCUAGACUUGGUUGGACAAGACCAUCGACUAAAGUAUUCUACUUGUUAUUUGCGCAUCUGGUAAGCAAUUUUUAUGUAGCCGAGGGUCUAGAAACACAGGCAGUUGUUCCAUUUCCCAGACCAGAAUCAACUGACAAGAUAGAAGCUAUGGCAAUGUGUGGCGAUGAUCUGAUGAUGCUCGGCAACACAUUGAAACGCAUUCAGCUUGAUGUAACGCGACUCAAUUAGUUCGGUUCAGCAGCUUCCAAUGCAGAUUUGCAGCGAUCCGGGAUACCAUCGGUGUCCGCAUUGUCGCCGGUCGCAGUCGUCAGCUUUAUGUCAACUCCUUACACGCUUUUUCACACCAGGACACAAAAACGCCUUGCUGCCCAUUUGUGCUGCCUGACAGGCCAUGAAUAUGUUUUAAAUAUAAUAUGGCCCGUGUAAUAUGGUCUGGCUUUUAUGUGUUUGGCUUUGCGAGGCACUGUAUCCAUUGUGCGCAUCUCUCUCUCUCUCUCUCUCUCUCUCUCACGGAUAAAUGCCGUUUCGCGACUUUAUUAUGUUUAUUAAUUAGUAGAUAACUGAAAAGAUUCCUAACAUACGUGCUUUUGAGCUUCUAUGCCUGACUCCUACGUCUGCCAACAAGUAGCAACGUUUCAGUCGGGUGUAACAGGCCUCGCUAUGCUAUAUUAUUAUUAUGUAUGCUAAGGAAAUAGAGAAGAUAGAUAUUCGAUAGUGCAUAUAUAUCCCUUGUAGCAUUUGUAGAUGGAAAGGGACUUGACGGGCUCGGGUUAAUAAUGUCUGUUCGAUCUGUGAAAAUAACCAUACAAAAUCUUGUAUGGGAAGGUCAGAUGAAAUGUACCUACAUAUUCUGAGCAAAGCUCACAGGAUAGGGUUAUAUGAUUCGACGGAUAAGUUUCUAAGUUAUCAAAUAGAUUCCGUACUUCAAGGAUUCAUCAAUCUAGUUGCUCACUUUGCUGUGGAGAUCCACUCAAUAUCUUAAUCAAAAAGACUCCUGCUCUACCAAACUUUGUUAACUUAAUUAUUUGAAUUGUUUUUCAGAACUUUUUUUCUCUAAUAGUAGUAGGUGCCCGUGUAGCUUCGUAUUGAGACACUAUUCAAAGCCUCUGCAUGCUAACGUGCUCGCAUUUAAUAGUUGCCAAGAAUUGAGAUACACUCACACCCGCACAUUGGGUUUCUGGAGGGAGGGUCGUGUCAUGGUAGCGGAGGGGUCGUCACCUCGACAAUUAACGGCACAAUUAUAAACAAUGCCAAGAUGUUGUUGACAACGAGCCACGCCCGUGCAGCGCUAAGUGUUUUUGCCAGCAUAUUGUUGGCGCAGCGAGAGAUACACUUACAUGCCAUACAUGCCCAUAAGCAUAGCGCGAGACACAGGUCCUAAGUCAUGCCCGACUGGGGCCCAAGACAGAACACAAAACAGCCCUUGUGAUUCAAAGAAAAAUGCAGCUUUAGCUUUUUAAAAAAUUGUAAUCACAACAUAUUGCACUCGCGCAGAUAAAGAUACAAAGCUGAUAGGUCACAGCAUUUAGCCAAGAUGAGAGCUGACAGCAACGCAACAAUGUCCCUGUCGGAUCACUUAAGAACGUAAUCAUAUCCGGAAGAGAUUAUGCUGCAAUUUACGCCCGAAUGCGCCGCACACUUGAGGGUUUCGCUCGUUCCAUUGUGCUCUCUGGCCUCUGCCGGCCUCUCCUUGCUCCCGGGGUUGUAGGUGAUAAGCGCAGUCGACACAACAGCUCUGUGAAUUUUUCAUCUUUUUGUUUCGCCAUUGCUGCACGUUAAACAAUAGAAUUGGAUUAUAAUUUUUUGAUGGCAAAGUGCUUAACCGCGCCCGAAUGAGACACAUUGUUUCGUGUUCGAGUUGUUUUGACACAAUUUAUAAGGAAAUUCCUGCCAUUGCAGUCCCGGCUCUGAUUGGGCCCCGAUAAGAGUUAUUAAUAUGCAAUAAUGCAAGACAUUUGGCGCCAAAAUACAUAAUACAGCAAUGGCGCCUGUCAAAUUGUUUAUGUGCUGUAAACAAUUUGGGAGACAUAAACAAGCCUUUGGAUGACGAUAAAUGUGAAGUGCGAUGAGA